UACGUAGGGUGCAAGCGUUAAUCGGAAUUACUGGGCGUAAAGCGUGCGCAGGCGGCUAUGCAAGACAGAUGUGAAAUCCCCGGGCUCAACCUGGGAACUGCAUUUGUGACUGCAUGGCUAGAGUACGGUAGAGGGGGAUGGAAUUCCGCGUGUAGCAGUGAAAUGCGUAGAUAUGCGGAGGAACACCAAUGGCGAAGGCAAUCCCCUGGACCUGUACUGACGCUCAGGCACGAAAGCGUGGGGAGCAAACAGG
rnacentral:rRNA from 1 species